UUCAAUAUUUGCUGCCCAUUAGAUGCAGACUAAGUGUUCCAACUAAAUUUUCAAAUUUCCCCCUUCACGUGGGAGAGGAAAGGAGUCCUUUUGCUGCAAAGGGCUAGUUUGGGGGGAACCUAUAAUGAUAGCUACCCAAUCAAUCACAAACAUCACACUUCUCAAUAUUUUUACUCAUAUCUCUCCAUAGUCUAACACUACAUCACACUUCUCACUCUCACCUCAUUUCAGCAUCUCACCCAAAAACUAAACCGAUUCUGCUUCCCGAUUGUUGGGAGUGAAGAUCCCACCAACUCUGUUGUUGACCUCUCUGGCACUUCUGAAUAUGACCCUGAAGCUAGCAGCCAAGUCACACCAGUUAGCACAUUCAAGUGUGCUGACUUCUUCAAGGAUGCUGAAACCCUUUCUCAGAUGAUUCCUUUCAGCAACAACUAUCUAUCUGUUGCUGCAGACAAGCAUGUCUCUGAAGCUUCAACUACUGCUAAGGCCAAGAUGACACCACUCCUGCAAAGCACUCUUCAUCAAAGAGAGUCAAACUCAUCAAACAGGAGAAGAAGCAAGCGUUUAUAUUCCCAUUUCCAUGACUAUAACAAGUUCUGCUUCUUUACUAUCCCAGAUCCUGAAUUGCUUCCCAUUUUGUAUUACAACCUACAUCAAUAUUAACACAUUUUGACCAAAUAAACAAGUACUAUUAUCGGAUAUAUGUCACACAUUACUUAAACAAUUAAUCAAGCACCAAUACAGGACUUUGCUAAAACCUUCAUUGGGUAACUAACCAUGGUAAAGAUAACCACCUAACCUAUAUCUGUUUGAAAUCUUACACAUUUUUUCGUUUUGUUUUAUACCAAUACUUCAACUUUUGAAAUAUAUUAUAUGUUAAACCAAAUGAUAGACCAUGCCCACCAUUUUAAUAUUCAAAACCACUUUUCCAACAAAUUUAUAAAUAUAUAAUAUAUUUAUAUUUUUACAGUUGGCAGGACAACACUUAGCAGCACCAUGCUUCUCACUUUUCUGCCAAGCAUUUAAUGCAUUUUGCAGUACACUAGCUAACACACACAAUUACACGGACUAUAUUUUAGAAGCUAACACACUGUUUCAUAAAACAGUACACCCAUUUCAGUUUUUUAUGAACAAACUAAACUUUUUCAACUGCAUAAGACAGUUUCUAUACAUUAUAUUUUCUAUCUAACUUCAUUUCUUGGCAGUCUAACUAACUUCCUAUGUGUUGUGGUUAAUUCUCAGUUUCAUUUACCUUUAUUAUCUGAUAUUAUCUAUAACACACUCAACUAUUUCUUUUACUUUAACACUACAUACUUUCUGGUGAACUCCAAGCUCAUAACAUGGAUACCUGAACUGCUAUUCCACACCAGAACUAAUGGAUAAACUUCAACAAUCACUUGAAGAUAAGGCUGCAGCAGCCAGGAAAAGAAGAAUUUCACUGCUGCAGAAUAACAAAAACAAAGCAAGAGUUGCUAAUUCUAAAACACUCCAAGCUGGUACAUCUUUGACAAAAAGCACAAAUUAUACAACACCACCCACUCGACGGACCACUGUUAAUUCCAAGGAUACCACCCAGACUGCUUCUUCAAAAGUGCUUAAUGUUAAACACACUUCAAAGAUAAAUACAAGUAACCACUUACCGGAAACUAUGAGUCCCUCAUGUUCCCAGGUUGGAACAAAGAGGAAUGCUAACUCUUCUGGGAAUGCAGUUGAAGUCAUGAACAACAAGAGAAAACUUCAAACCACCAAUGCUGAUGCUCUAAGGAAACUACUUUCCAAUAUUACUUCAUCCACACUAAAUCAGAUUCCUACACAACAUUUACAUCAAAAGGGAGCAUCCACUGGAAAACCUGCAGUUAACAGCCAAAAUCAGUCAUCAAUCUUGCAAAGUACAAUACCCAAUUAUAAUUACAAUGCAACUCAACACUUACCAAGAACAGGUUUCCCCUCAUCUUCCAAUCUUGGGACAAAGCAUACUAUUCAAACAUCUGCCAAUGGAGCUAAUUUCAUUAACAACACUAAUCAAUCCAAUACCUCGAAGACUGAUGUUGUUACACCAACUAUUUCUGAUCUAACUUCAUCCAAACUAAAUCAUAUACCAAGUACUCGAGUUCACCAUGUUGGAAAUUCUCAAUGUAAGUUAUCUUGGAUUUCAAUAUCCUCUCAUUUUUCCUUACGGGUGAAUAUGCAUUUUACUACGUUAUAAAGAUGACAGUGUCAUAACAGGUCGGAUAAUCUAUAUCAACUAAAAUCACUUAAUCACUUAAUCAACUAAAGUUAUAUGUAAGUUAUCAGUAUUCACUUCAUCUAUAUGUAAGUUAUCAGUAUUCACUUCAUCUAUAUCAACUAAAAUCACUUAAUCAACCAACGCUGCAGGUUUACUCACAUAUAUGAUGACCACUUUCCAAUGAAACCAUCAAAUCUAAACUAUAAGCUGAAACAACUGCAAUCUGAUAAUCUAUUCUUUUACAAGUUUAAGGAUAGACAUAUUCAAUCUUUUGUAACUAAGCUUCUAUAUGUCAACAACUAACCUGUAAUUUCACCUGCUUAUCUACAUUGUAUUUUGUCAAAUCUGUAAUCCAACUUUGCCAGCGAAAACAAAUACUGUUGAACUUGAA